GCCGCCAUUGACCAGAGUGGUCGUCCUCUCAGCAUAAGGUAGUGAUUUUGGACCCAUCCUUUCAAGAGGAAGACGGAGGUUCGACUCCUCCUGGCGGCA